UGAAAUUCUAUGAAAAGUGAAGUAUCCUUAUAAGAUUUCUGACAGCGAGCAGGAACAGAGUGAAAGUCCUGCAAGAUAUUAUUUGGAGAAAAGGUACUUGGAGGAGCUGCCUGAGCUUUAUAAGUCAGGGUGUGACGUUGGCUGCGUUAAAGCCAUGAGUGGAUUGUAAAUACAAUCAACUAGAGUGGUACCGCGGAUAUAUCCGUCUCUUAU
rnacentral:ncRNA from 1 species